GUCUACGGCCAUACCACCCUGAACGCGCCUGAUCUUGUCUGAUCUUGGAAGCUAAGCAGGGUCGGGCCUGGUUAGUACUUGGAUGGGAUUUCUAUUUCUAUGGGAGUCUCGGAUGACUUAGAAG
ensembl:rRNA 5S_rRNA 5S ribosomal RNA